rnacentral:rRNA from 1 species
UACGGGGGGGGCAAUCGUUGUUCGGAAUUACUGGGCGUAAAGGGCUCGUAGGUGGCCAACUAAGUCGGACGUGAAAUCCCUCAGCUUAACUGGGGAACUGCGUCCGAUACUGGAUGGCUCGAGUUUGGGAGAGGGAUGCGGAAUUCCAGGUGUAGCGGUGAAAUGCGUAGAUAUCUGGAGGAACACCGGUGGCGAAGGCGGCAUCCUGGACCAACACUGACACUGAGGAGCGAAAGCCAGGGGAGCAAACGGG